GGCAACGUGGCAGAGUGGUUAUUGCGUGAGACUAGAAAUCUCAUUCCUUCGGGAGCAUAGGUUCAAAUCCUGUCGUUGUCG